UUCCUCUUCGUCGCGGCCAACUCUUCCGAAUCGGCGAACGCCACGUGGCCAGCGCGUAGGAUGCAGCGCGUUCCGCAUAUAAAAGCCGGUGGGGAUAACUCCGUUACCCCUUUCUUCGUCUUCGCGGUUCACACCACCGACACCGCUGCAUUUGGGUACUGCGAGAUGCAAUUUUGUAUCCAUUUAUUGAAACGGCCACACCUCUGCCGCUGCAUUUGUGGCCGUCGCGGAAUAUACGGAACGUUAAAAAAGCAGAAGAUAUCAGGAUAAAUAAAGGAAUUCUCUGAAUUCACCAAAGUUAUGAAUUUGAGAAGAGAGAGUAUCGAAACAACAGAGCUGCUCUGUUUGAUAGCAUUGAGGAGGGUGGCAUUCAGGCCUCAUCUUAAUCGUCUCAUGAAAUUGCUGAGUAUGACUAAGAUAAAUAUAUUGAUGGGUUGCAAGAUAGAGUGAAUUUUUAAAAAAGAGUAGGUCAUUUACAAUAUUUUAUUUGAUUUUUUGGUAAAUAUUUCCUGACUUAUUAUAUUUUAUCAAGUCCUACUCAAAUUUCUCUUGAUAUAACUGUUGGACCUGUUGUUUAUCUUGUUAAUAUAUUUCAUAGAUAUUGUGAUUGAUAUUAGAACAAAUAUCUUUCUUAAGAUUGGAAGCUUCUUGAUGGACCUGUGCUUUUUUUGGUUUUGUGAUGUGUUUUAGCACUUACUUCUUCACUGCCACUGGUGACGGUUCUUUUUUUGUUGGGUGAGGACCGGUGACAGUUAUUUUAGUCGAUGCUUGGGUUUAAACUUGACACCCCAGCUUCAGUCAUAUUUUUAUGAUCUACCUGGUCAUGUUCUUCCAGAUUAUUAGAAUUUUGUUUUUGAUGAUGAAUGUGUAAAAUAUUCUUCUUUAGAGUUGUUCCAUAUGGACUGGUAAGAGAUACUCUGCUGUUUCUUUGCCCAGAGAUAUCUAUUUAAUGCUGUAAUGUUUGAUCUUCAGAACUCUGAGCCCUGCUAAGGAGUCAUGCUUCAUAUUACCCAGUUGAAGACCUUAAUAUUGGUGGAAUAUCUUUGGUCAAUAUGCAAAUGUUACACUCUAUGAUUAGAUCUUGUUUUUUUUCAAGAUCACCCUAAAUAUUUUCCCCUUCUCAUUAUUUCUAAAAUUGCCACAAAUUUACUUAAACAGUUUUAUUUAGUAAUCUAAAGAGAAAAUAUCUUCUAAUUUUCCAGUUUGUAUAUCCUUUUCUUAUUUUCAUUUAAUUGUUCUUGUGCCCAUCUCUUUUAUUUGAGUUUGGUAAUUCAAUUAGUUUUUCAUCUUCUGAAACAUCAGCAGUUUAACAGAGAAAUUAUGCCUUUGUCAUUUAUUUUUAUAUCGACAAUCAUCUCAAUCAUUUCCUUUUUUUUGUGACACAGUUGAUGCCUAUUUAUCUAUCUUAACAUGCAGCGAUAAGGAAUUUAAUUAUCUUAGAAAACUUGGCUAUUUGUUGCUAUUACAUUUUAGUUAUUAUGAUCAUCUUGGUGUGAAGUUGAUGGGAAAUACAUGAAGAAGUCGAGAUCCAUAAUCAUGCCUUGGACCAAAUGGGUCAUGACAUGGAUACUUCCAGCGGAGUCCUUUCUGGAACAGUUGAUCGAUUCAAGAUGGUAAAUACACUUCACAUCUGUUCAUUGGGUUUCUACUUCUGUUUUUGACCAAAAUUAAAUUUUCUUCCUUAGGUUUUUGAGAGAAAGUUGAAUUGCAGAAUGGCUACACUUGUGAUCUCUUUCCUGGUGCUCUUCUUACUCAUGUAUUACCUAACCAAGUAGAAAUCUUCAGCUUUAUAGUACACAAGCAGAUUGUUGGUCCUUUUAAAGUGAUUUAUUGCGACUGUAGCCCUCACGCGUGAUAUCCUUUUGCGUACUAUUACUGUAUAUGUGAAAUUGACACCUUAGAUGUUGAAUCUUGUGAGGUUGAAGACUAAGAAUGAGUCCUAUCAUUUUCAGGUCUUUUAUCUUGUAGUCCUAUCAUUUUCCUGUUGAACGUUUUAGAAUCUUAAUAAAGAUGAUGAAUUACUUGAA